GCCAUCUGAACUCCUGUCAUGUGCUCCUUUUGCCAAUCUGUCACACUUAAUCUGAGCGGAAAGAAAAACUUAAGAGGAGAGCCUCCAGUGCCCCUGGAACGCUUGGGGUUGGGAGAAAAAAAGCGAGCGUAGAAACAAAGGAGAAGAAGGAGGAGAAAAUCACAACGGCGUAGCAUUUCAGGGGCAUGAAUGGCAUCAAUGAUUCGCUGAGGGGGAUAAAUGGGGUGUCGAGCCUGGCUCUCGUCACGCAGUGCUUCAAGGGUUUGUCCGCUUUGGUCAUUUUUAGCUGGGGAGGAAACAUUCAGACCUAAAAGAAGCCACAACAUCAAUAAAAGAAUCAACAUGUUGCUGAACAGUCUGCUGAAAUCAGAGCGGAAGGAACAACUUCUCUCUGCUGCUCCUGGGGACGUCCACACCUGCACUCUCACCUGGUGUCUCAGGGACCAGGAGUCCUGUAGUAAUGUUAUACCUCUGCACAGCUCUGGCUGGUUCCUGCUGUCCCUCGCCGUGGUAUUUGAGGGACAGUUUGAGGGUCUGUGCUGUCUUUCUGCUGCUUCUGUCUCCCUGCUGUCUGCUUACAGCGGUGUAGACUGUGACCUUGUUUCCUGAUGAGGUGGCGCUCCCACUCGCUGCUUCUUAUCACAAAUGCGACAUUGAUGGAUGGCUGUGAGUAGCUGUUGUGCUGUUCGGGGGCAUCAGGUCACGGCACCAGUUACUUUAAGCAAAUGUUUUGUUGUUGUUUUCUUUUUUUACCUGAAGCCUGCUUUCAGAUUGUUAAUGAGCUCUGUAAGCAGCAUCACAAAAGAGAAUUUUCCACACACACAUCAUGUAUUUUAAAGGAACUCUGCUUUUACAUAAGUAUUAAUUCAUCACCCCUUCUUUAUGUUUACACGGGAAGCAUUGCUUUUGAAGAUUAAGGAGGACCCAGUGAGAAAUGUACAAAUAUCCGUCAGCUAAUUCACAUUAUGCAGCCUCUUGCCCACAGGUUAUGAAGGAUUAGGGAAGAUUUCGCACUCAAUUGAGGCUGCAGAGGAUUCAGAGAAUCAAAGCCCCUCAGACUCAGGACUAUUUUUGGGCUGCCGCUAAUAGUUCUUGUCAGCCGUAAUUUUUAAGUACUUUAACCAAUUCAUUGUAUAAUUAGGUUAACAAAAUUAGCUCAUUGCAAAGUCAGUCAGCAGGCAGUAAUGCAAUAAAGUUAUUAACAUUCCAGAUUUAUAGAACC
ensembl:lncRNA